GGGAUGACUGGUUGGUACACGCCCUGAGCAGCCGCCGAGCUUUCGGUGGCAGUGUACGGCGCCUAGAGCUUGAUAUUAUAACAGAAAGACCGGAAGAUAUUUGUUGCCACGGAUUGAAAAGCUGAAAGGGAUGGGUGAUGGGCUGAUGCCUGAUGGCUACAGCAUCUUCCGUCAAACUAUUUCUUCUCGUCUACCUGCAGGAUCCCAACUCCCAACACCAAUUCCUUCAGCUUCCAUCUCAUCAGGCUAACAGGGAGAAGCUUCUGCAUCACAGCAUCAUCAGGAAGGGAGGUGCCUCUCGGUCGUGUGUUCUUGGAUGCGAUGGUGCCAUGGAGGAUGGAGGCGCGCCUGGCCGAGACCGUGUGGGUGGUGCUCCUCGGCUGGCUCUCCUCCUGCCUCACCGUCGCCGGCGACGUCGCUCGCGCGCUCAGAAGCAGCGAUCCCUCCAUCUAAAAGCCAUUUUCGACAUCGCCAGCGGCAAAGAACCGACUCCGCGUGGCGCUCCAUUUGGCGUACAGAGAAACAAGAUUGCAGGGUAACCAGUAACCAGUCUGUAGACAGAGUUUCAUCCAUAAUUGGACGAGUUUGAUGUAAAAGUGAAAUCUUCAUAUAGCAUAGAUGUAAAAUCUUGUGUCAAGCAGAGAAAUAGCUAUCGCUCAGAGUGUCCUGACUUUCUAACACAGAUAGCACUGAAGGGACUAAUAUGGCUGCUGCAUCUGACGAACUACGGAGAAAACUUUGAUAA